GCAAGUCGAGCGAGAAUUUAUUUGAUGGAGACUUCGGUCAAAGCCAAAUGAAGGAAAGCGGCGGACGGGUGAGUAACGCGUGGGCAACCUGCCCUGUAUAAAGGGAUAGCCACUGGAAACGGUGAUUAAUACCUUAUAAGACUACAGAAACACAUGUUUCAGUAGCCAAAGCUCCGGCGAUACAGGAUGGGCCCGCGUUUGAUUAGCUAGUUGGUGAGGUAACGGCCCACCAAGGCGACGAUCGGUAGCUGGUCUGAGAGGACGACC
rnacentral:rRNA from 1 species